AGUAACACGUAAACAACCUGCCUUCAGGAUGGGGACAACAGACGGAAACGACUGCUAAUACCGAAUAAGUUCCAAGAGCCGCAUGGCCCCAUGGAAGGAAAAGGUGGCCUCUACCUGUAAGCUAUCGCCUGAAGAGGGGUUUGCGUCUGAUUAGCUGGUUGGAGGGGUAACGGCCCACCAAGGCGACGAUCAGUAGCCGGUCUGAGAGGAUGAACGGCCACACUGGAACUGAGACACGGUCCAGACUCCUACGGGAGGCAGCAUG
rnacentral:rRNA from 1 species